ACUAUUGUAAAAUAUCUGCAACUGCAAGACUCAGCAAAUUCAGGGGGAAGCCAUCCACCGCAGCCGGGAAUCGAACCAGGAGAGCCAAGACCACAGGCGACUGCGCUAACCAGUCAACUAAAGGGUCCGACCCGAUCAGAUCUCUAUAGU